UUUGUAGAGUCUCUUUCAGUUCAGGUCUUGAAUCAUUUGAUUUGGAAAAAUUUUUGACGGAGAAAGACUAUAGGGCUAAGAGAAGCUCUCCUGUCAAGCCUUUGAUUCGACUUUUGGCAAUGCCAUUUCGAAAGAAAGGGAACCUGUUGGGUUGGGAGAACCUAGAUCUUUUUGACGGAGAAAGACAAUAGGGCUAAGAGAAGCUCUCAUGUCAAGCCUUUGAUUCGACUUUUGGCAAUGCCAUUUCGAAAGAAAGGGAACCUGUUGGGUUGGGAGAACCUAGAUAUGUCGAUUUAGAAAAAGCCGAUGCAUAUGGGAACGAAAGGUGAAUGGAGGGGUGCUCCAGCGAGUUAUUCUAGAUGUCGGAAGUUUAAAGAUUGGAUUGAGGAAUGCAAACUCAUUCG
rnacentral:lncRNA from 1 species